GAGACUUCUCGCUACAUAGGAGGACUAUGCAUGCCUUCGUAGAUCUUGAAGUUGGUUCUACAAAAUAACCCUAUUAUCGGAUCUUGUGGCAGUUUUGCGAGGGCUAAUUUACCGAUGCUUCUCAAUCCUAACACCGAAUUUUUGCUGACUGAAGCAGCAAUGUUUCUAUUCAUUUCAAACAUUCUGGUUUGGCUGCAGUUCAGAAGAGAGUUUCCCACAUAAGUGUUAGUGAACGACUACAUACU
rnacentral:lncRNA from 1 species